GAGAGAGAGAGAGAGAGAGAGAGAGAGCUGGACCUGUUAACCUGAAAACCCGACCCGAUUCCGCGAUAUUGACCCGACGAGUUCUCCCGUUUCCGGCCACCUUACCGGCCGUGCUUGGUACCGAUCUGAAGCUUGGAAGCUGACCGUCGUAUCCCCGUGGUCCUCGUCGCCGAAAACUGGCCAGAACGUCGGCGAUUGGAGCUCGAAAGUCACGGCCAAGAUCCUUUUCCGUCGCCGUUGAUUCCGCCGGGUUUGUGACGCGCCACCACUUGGAACUAGUUCUUCACAUCUUCAGCAACAAUUUCCGACCAACCACGAUCACCAGGGAGGCCGGAAAACCGCCGAACGAUCACCGGAAACUUACGGAUCUUUAGAGCUUCGAUCCGCCGCCGGUAGCGCGCGUGGCGACUCACGGCCACCACCAUUGCACUCACCGAGGUCGGAACUAGCAGACCUAAGCUCCCCGUCGUCGUUGACUGAAGUCCGGUCACCGUUGACCGGCGAGGGGCAAUUCGGUAAAUUCAUGGACUUUUGGGGGUGAUUGUGUAAUUUUAUGUAAAUAAUGGACAUUUUGGUAAUGUUGGUUGAGGGCAGUGAAGUAAUUUAUGCUUUCGAGGGUAAUUCGGGAAUUUAAGACGUUAAGGACAUUUCGGUAAUUUUACGAACUGAGGGUAAUUUCGUAAUUUCGGACAAUGUGAUUAAUUUAUGUAAUCUGGAUUGAGGACAAUAUGGUAAUUGACGAAUAUGAGGAUAAUUUGGUAAAAUAAUGAAGUUUGAGGAUAAGUUGGUAAAAUAUUGAUGUUGGGGGCGAAUAUGAGGAUAACUCCGAGGGUAAUUUCGUAAUUUUUGACAUUGUGGUUAUUUAUGUGAUCUGAAUUGAGGACCAUUUAGUAAUUGAAGAUUCUGAGGAUAAUUUGGUAAAAUAAUGAUGUUGGGGGCAUUUUAGUAAUUUUGGCAUGUAGGGGUAUUUUGGUAAUUUUGCACAUGCGGGAAUAGUUUAUUGUUGAUAAAUAUUCGUUUCGAGAUUUAUUAUAUAAAAUUGGUUGUAUUUCAAGUUUACGGAGAAUGUUUAUGUCGUUUCCCUGAUUAGGAGGAUCUGCGAACGAGAAUCAACCCGCGGACGUUGUUGAUACCGAGUCUAGACAUCAUCACUGUGAGUGGAAUAUACAAAACCUAUUUUCAUAGUAUAUGCUGAUUUUAUGAUAAGUAUUUAAUGCUUCGAUUAAAUGAUUUUCCGGUAAAUUAAUUUUUAUCUAUGUGAGUAAAGGCAUGAUAUUAGAAUUGAGCAGAUUUUGAGAUAUGUUGAAUAGAAAGAAAAUGAGAUUUCAUAUGAGAUUCUAUGUUUAUGUAUAUGUUAUUUUUGAAAUCAUUAGACAGUACCCUUCCCUCCAGAUACAGAGAAACAGAUAAUAUGAGAUGAGAAAAGAGAUACAGACAAGAGAUACAGAUAAGAUGAGAUAGAGGCCUUUGGGGCCCGUCGGGACACACAUAGAGGCUUUGGGCCGUGUGUUCGGGCGCUUUUGCCUUUUGGGGGCUUAUGCAUGCACAGUACAGAUAUAUGAGAUAAGAGAUAUGAGAUAUGAGAUAUGAGAUGAGAUCGUCCCCAUCUAUCCAUUGUAGCUCCGGGGAGUGACGUUACCCAGAUAGUACGUCAUUGCCCGUCCGUCGAGGUCCGGAUAUGAUCAGAUUAUUCCCUGGGUACUUGUUUGAUGACAGUUUUUAGUAUUCAGUAUUUGAUAUGAUGAGUAUUAUAUGAUUCCAUCGAUUUUAUACAAAUAUAUGUAUUAUAGUGUUUCAAUGAACUGAUUUG
rnacentral:lncRNA from 1 species